AUGCUGCCGGCUGGCGUCAAGUUCGAUCCCACGGAUAAGGAGCUGAUCGAGCACCUUGAGGCCAAAGUGAGUGCUGACAGCGCGAGAUCUCACCCUCUCAUCGAUUUGUUCAUACCAACCAUCGACAGCGAGCACGGCAUAUGCUACACCCAUCCUGAGAAACUUCCAGGUAUCACACUGAGUAGCCUAAGCAAGCAUUUCUUCCAGCGCAAUUCUAGGGCAUUCAAAAGGGGCACGUGGACGCGUCGCAAGAUACAGUUGGAGUGCGGCAUCCACGCAAUGUGGCACAAGACCGGCAAUACCUUGCCGGUGGUGGUCAACGGCUGGCAGACAGGCAGCAAAAAGGUUCUGGUGCUGCACACCAACAAGAACUUCGACCAGUAG
rnacentral:rRNA from 1 species